UCCCAGUAUGGGAAGGUAAAAAAAGGAUGUUGCGACAACAGCCACCAUGUAAAGCAGCUGUAACUGGACGUAACAUACACAUGAACACAGGUAAAAAAAGGAUGUUGCGACAACAGCCACCAUGUAAAGCAGCUGUAACUGGACAUAACAUACACAUGAACACAGGUAUGUUACAUGUUUCAUAUUAUAUGUUAUACAAAAACUAAUCACAGCAAACAACAUAUACUGUAUACUCUGUCAAACUGCACAUAAACACAAAUUCUAAAUAUAGUCCUGUUUUAUUUCAAACCUUAAUUACUGAAAAAUUGUAAAAUAUAGUUUGAUGAAAAAC
rnacentral:lncRNA from 1 species